rnacentral:rRNA from 1 species
ACUCAAAUGAAUUGACGGGGACCCGCACAAGCGGUGGAGCGUGUGGUUUAAUUCGAUGGUAAGCGGAGAACCUUACCAAGACUUGACAUCCUACUGAAAGCCACUGGAAACAGAGGCCCUCGCAAGACAGUAGUGACAGGUGCUGCACGGUUGUCGUCAGCUCGUGCCGUGAGGCGUUCCGUUAAGUCGGGUAACGAGCGCAACCCUUAUUGCUAGUUGUAUUUUUCUAGCGAGACUGCCGCGGUUAACGCGGAGGAAGGUGGGGAUGACGUCAAAUCAGCGUGGCCCUUAUGUCUUGGGCGACACACGCGCUACAAUGGCCGGUACAAUGGGUUGCCAAGCCGCGAGGCGGAGCUAAUCCCAAAAAACCGGCCCCAGUUCGGAUUGGAGUCUGAAACUCGGCUCCAUGAAGCCGGAAUCGCUAGUAAACGCGAAUCAGCCAUGUCGCGUUGAAUACGUUCUCGGGUCUUGCACACACCGCCCGU